UUUAUUGGAGAGUUUGAUCCUGGCUCAGGAUGAACGCUGGCGGCGUGCCUAAUACAUGCAAGUCGAGCGAAUGGAUUGAGAGCUUGCUCUUAUGAAGUUAGCGGCGGACGGGUGAGUAACACGUGGGUAACCUACCCAUAAGACUGGGAUAACUCCGGGAAACCGGGGCUAAUACCGGAUAACAUUUUGAACUGCAUGGUUCGAAAUUGAAAG
rnacentral:rRNA from 1 species